rnacentral:misc_RNA from 1 species
UGGCUCUCGCAUCGAUGAAGAACGCAGCGAAAUGCGAUAAGUAAUGUGAAUUGCAGAAUUCAGUGAAUCAUCGAAUCUUUGAACGCACCUUGCGCCCCUUGGUAUUCCGAGGGGCAUGCCUGUUUGAGUGUCAUGUUACUCUCAAAUCCCUUGUCUUUCUUAUAACUGAAGGGCUCGGCGGUUUGGAUUUGGAGGCUUAUGCUGGUCCCGUUUGGGUCGGCUCCUCUUAAAUAAAUUAGCUGGACUUUGGUUCGCAUUUUUACGGUGUAAUAGUUCUAACGUUCGCCGGAAGUGCUUGCCCUAACGAGUCUGCUUCUAAUCGUCUUCGGACAAGGUCUCUGUUACCUUCAUAUGACGCUUAUUGACCUCAAAUCAGGUAGGACUACCCGCUGA